rfam:Brachypodium distachyon strain Bd21 chromosome 2, whole genome shotgun sequence.
AACAUACUCCCUCCGUCAAACAAAAGAUGUCUCAAGUUUAUGAAAAUUUGGCUGUAUCUAGACAUAACUUAGUGUAUAAAUGCAUUCAAAUUUUGUCAAAGUUGAGACAUCCUUUGUUGGACGGAGGGAGUAUUAA